rnacentral:tRNA from 1 species
GGGGCUGUGGCUCAGUGGUAGAGCACUCACCUAGCAUGUGCGAGGCCCUGGGUUCCAUCCUCAGCACCA